rnacentral:rRNA from 1 species
AGUGAACGCUGGCGGUAGGCCUAACACAUGCAAGUCGAACGGCAGCACAGUAAGAGCUUGCUCUUACGGGUGGCGAGUGGCGGACGGGUGAGGAAUACAUCGGAAUCUACUUUUUCGUGGGGGAUAACGUAGGGAAACUUACGCUAAUACCGCAUACGACCUACGGGUGAAAGCAGGGGAUCUUCGGACCUUGCGCGAUUGAAUGAGCCGAGGUCGGAUUAGCUAGUUGGCUGGGUAAAGGCCCACCAAGGCGACGAUCCGUAGCUGGUCUGAGAGGAUGAUCAGCCACACUGGAACUGAGACACGGUCCAGACUCCUACGGGAGGCAGCAGUGGGGAAUAUUGGACAAUGGGCGCAAGCCUGAUCCAACCCUACCGCGUGGGGGAAGAAGGCCUUCGGGUUGUAAAGCUCUUUUGUUGGGAAAGAAAAGCAGCAGGUUAAUACCCCGCUGUUCUGACGGUACCCAAAGAAUAAGCACCGGCUAACUUCGUG